UUACGCGUGGCGCAAUGGCAGCGCAUCUCAUUCCUAAUGAGAAGGUUGCGGGUUCGAGUCCCGUCGCGUAAG
rnacentral:tRNA from 1 species